rnacentral:lncRNA from 13 species
AGAUGAUGCAAAAUUCUGUUCAGUGCCCCUAAUUGUUGCCCCUGGGGCUCUACUAUCCUUGAGAAAGUUGGGGAAUUCCAGGCUGGAAAUAUUUAGAAAACCAUUAGCCAGCUGUCAUACUGGGGAGGUGGAGGGUAAGCUACGCAGAGGUCACAGAUCAUCUGAGGCAUUGCUUCAGCAUACAAGCUUGCUUCCCACACACCUCUUUGAAGAGUGGUUCAUUAACCAGGCAGGAGACCACUGGUUUUGGAGCCUCUUUUUCUCUUGCUCAACCUCAGAAGGAGCUGGGUCCCAAUGACCAUCCAACUUGUCAGCAGCUUCACAACUCACCUUGGUGCAUCUCUGUCCCACACGGGAUUCAGAAGUCUAAUCAGGAAUGUAAUUAGGAACAUGAUGCAGAUGGGCAAGGCCUGUCCCUUCCUUCUUCAGCUGCUGUGUGGUGCCAGGUAAAAUACUUAAAUUAGUUUUUCUCAUGUUUUCAAAUUAGCCAAGAAGUUUACUUAUGUAGAGACAGUUCUUAGGCACUCCAUUUUAUAUUUUGAAGACAAAGCUAAAGUUGGCUGCAGCUGUGAAUUGGAACAAGGAAAAACCUGAGAGGCAUUGGUUGAUUGUUCUUAAAACUAAUUUACUGUUUCUUUUCUUGUCUAUUUCCUUGCAGGCCUGUAAUCUAGUAGGAAAGGGCAUAUGCAUUAGCAGAAAAAUGUAUGACACAAAUAAUGCUUUUAAUGUGCAUUGACAACUUUGUCUGCUAUACUCUCUAUCAAUACAUUUGACUAAAAUGCCUUAUUUGGCCUUUCCCUUAAGUUUUUCCAGAUCUAGAAUUUGGCACUAGCCUGGCCAAUCUGGUGAAAUCUGGUCUCUACUAAAAAUACGAAAAUUAGCAGGGUGCGGUGGUGCGUGCCUGUAAUCCCAGCUACUCUGGAAGCUGAGGCAGGAGAAUCGCUUGAACCCAGGAGGUAGAAGUUGCAGUGAGCCAAGAUUGUGCCACUGCACUCCAGCCUGUGCGGCAGAGCAAGACUGUCUCAUUAAAGAAAAAAAGAAGAAUUUGGUAAUUAUUUUCAGCAUUUUAAAGAUGCCAUCCCAUUAUCUUCUGGAUUCCGCCAUUUCUUCUGAAAGAUCAGCUAUAGUGUAACUGUUGCUCCUUUGAGUGUGAGGUGUCCUCACCCUCAGCUGUUUUGAAGAUUCCCCUGUGUUUUUUAUUUUCAGCAUGUUGUGCCCAUGAGGUUUUCAGCAAGAUGUCACUCUGAUGUAUCUCAGCGUGUAUUUUUUGCCUUCUGAAUUUAUUCUCCUUCAAUCUUAUAGAGCUUCUUAGAUCUGUGGAUUAAUGUUGUAAGCAUUUUGGGAAAAUUUCUGGCCAGUGUCUCUCUGUAAGUAUUGUUGGUGCGCCUUUAUUCCAGAGCCCCUUUUCCGGAAUUCUAAUUCCAUGUCCAUUAGACCUUAUCAGGGUGUC